rnacentral:rRNA from 1 species
CCUACGGGAGGCAGCAGUGAGGAAUAUUGGUCAAUGGGCGUAAGCCUGAACCAGCCAAGUCGCGUGAGGGAUGAAGGUUCUAUGGAUCGUAAACCUCUUUUAUCAGGGAAUAAAGUGUGGGACGUGUCCUGUUUUGUAUGUACCUUAUGAAUAAGGAUCGGCUAACUCCGUGCCAGCAGCCGCGGUAAUACGGAGGAUCCGAGCGUUAUCCGGAUUUAUUGGGUUUAAAGGGUGCGUAGGCGGCCUUUUAAGUCAGCGGUGAAAGUCUGUGGUUCAACCAUAGAAUUGCCGUUGAAACUGGGAGGCUUGAGUAUGUUUGAGGCAGGCGGAAGGCGUGGUGUAGCGGUGAAAUGCUUAGAUAUCACGCAGAACCCCGAUUGCGAAGGCAGCCUGCCAAGCCAUGACUGACGCUGAUGCACGAAAGCGUGGGGAUCAAACAGGAUUAGAUACCCCUGUAGUC